rnacentral:tRNA from 2 species
GGUCCCGUAGCUCAGUUGGUAGAGCAACUGACUUUUAAUCAGUGGGUCGCAGGUUCGAUUCCUGCCGGGAUCA